UGUGUCUCCCGGAGAAGAAGCAGGCGUCUCCUCUGUGCCACGUUCCCAGUCUCCCCGGUCACAGAACCGACCGGAGUGUGGCCCUGGCGUCCAGUUGCUGGUUGCAGGUGUCCCCAGGACACGGGAAGGAGCCAAGUCCUCAAUAAAUAUUUGCUUAAUUAACUGAAGAGAAAGGGAGGGAGGAAGCGGGGGUUAUGGAGAUGCAUGGCUUCCAGAAGAUCCUUCUUCAGGGCAAGAUUUGGGGAAAGAGACUGGCUUCUGUGGGCAUUUUUGUUUUUGAACGUUUUUUACUGGGUAGUCAAAAAAGAGAGUAUUAUUGCUGA